rnacentral:tRNA from 1 species
CAGGGAGACAACAAAAUGUUUAAUAUUAUUAUUUUGUCACCUUAGGUCGAUCGGUAUCUCACGUUCUUAAUUUAUUAAGAAUUUCAUUUCCUAAGUUUUUCUAGGUCACACCCAUUAUUUUCCUGGGCCAUUAGCUCAGGUGGUUAGAGCGCACCCCUGAUAAGGGUGAGGUCCCUGGUUCAAGUCCAGGAUGGCCCAUAUCUCUAUGUUGGGGGUAUAGCUCAGUUGGUAGAGCGCCUGCUUUGCAAGCAGGAUGUCAGCGGUUCGAGUCCGCUUACCUCCACUGAUUACCACCUCUUCCAUAAUCUGUAGAAAGGAAAAUUUUUUGAGUUGUGAUCAUUAUUCUGAACGAAUCUAGCUUCCUAAUGAAAUUAUUAAGAUGCUGGACUCAUUGAAUUAAUUUCAUUGUUUUCAGAGAACCUUGACAACUGCAUAGAUUAUUUUUAAAGACAAUAAGCAUCUUUAAUGAUGCAGAUUUAUUAUUUGUGCAAAUGCAUUAAUAACAAUUCUAUUAAGCUGAUGCUUCAAUUAUGAAGUUAUU